rnacentral:rRNA from 1 species
AAUGAACGUUGGCGGCGUGGAUUAGGCAUGCAAGUCGUACGGACCAUGGUAGCAAUAUUAUGGUUAGUGGCGCAAGGGAGAGUAAUACGUAGGUAUUUACCCUGGGGUCUGGGAUAGCGGCGGGAAACUGCCGGUAAUACCAGAUGAUAUCUCCGGAUCAAAGGUGUGAUUCCGCCCUAGGAGAAGCCUGCGGUCUAUCAGCUAGUUGGCAGGGUAACGGCCUACCAAGGCAAAGACGGAUAUGGGGCGUGAGAGCGUGCC